rnacentral:rRNA from 1 species
AGAAUCAACGCUGGCGGCGUGCCUAACACAUGCAAGUCGAACGAGAAAGGGGAGCAAUCCCUGAGUAAAGUGGCGCACGGGUGAGUAACACGUGACUAACCUACCCUGGAGUGGGGGAUAACUGAGGGAACCUUAGCUAAUACCGCAUAACACCUACGGGUCAAAGGAGCAAUUCGCUUUGGGAGGGGGUCGCGGCCGAUUAGUUAGUUGGCGGGGUAAUGGCCCACCAAGACAGUGAUCGGUAU